UGAGAUUUCUUCUUUCAAAAAAUGGCAAGAUUGGUUGUAUUUGUUGCUCUUUGCUUCCUCUCUGUUUCUUUGGCUACUACCACUUCCAACCCUUUCCUUGUCAAGGGUAAAUGUUAUUGUGAUACUUGCCGAUGUGGAUUUGAGACCCCUGCUACUAAGUAUCUUGCUGGUAAACUCUAAAAAAAACCCUCAUUCUGCAUUUUCUACUGUUCAUAUUUCAAGAUCUGUUCUCAUUUCUGCCAUUUCUUGACUACCCAUUUGCAGAUCUACUCUAUAGAUUUACUAGAUCGUAUUGUUUAGUGUUUAAGUGAGGAAAUGUUCAUUUCUUGUCUGAUUUAGUAAUACAGUGAUGUAGUUUAUCAUCAAAUUGGAUUGUUUCACGUCGUACUGUGAACUGUUUUUUUGUUGCCUGAGUCGGAUUUAGCCUUCUGAUAUUGUGUUCAUAUGAAUCUACUACUUUUGACGCCGAACAUAAAUUUUGGGGAAUAAAUUGCGUCUAUAUCAAUUUUUAAAAUUGAAGUCAUAUCAAGUUUAAAUCUUAAAUCUGCCUCUUUUUUUGCUGCUAGUUUACGGUAGGAUUAACAAUAAUUGUGGUAUGACGAACAGGAUCUAAGGUUAAAGUUGAGUGCAAAAACAGGGUGACCAACAAAAUCACAUACACAAUUGAUGGAGUGACAAACUCACAGGGUGAAUACAACAUCUUAGUUAAACGUGACUGUGGUGAUGAUGUCUGUGAUGUUGUGCUCGUCGAGAGCGGUGAUAAAUCAUGUAACAUCCCCAAUGCUGGUCGUGAUCGUGCCCGUGUUGCUCUCACCCGCAACAAUGGUAUGACCUCUGAUGUUCGUUUCGCUAACAACAUGGGUUUCCUCUCCAACGAACCUCUUGCUGCCUGCACUCAGAUCCUCC
rnacentral:lncRNA from 1 species